rfam:Capsicum annuum cultivar Zunla-1 chromosome 6, whole genome shotgun sequence
AUACUUACCUGGAUGGGGUUAAUGGACAAUAAGGCCCAUGGCCUAGGCUGGUGACUUUCAUUACACUUUGGAAGGGUGCCAUCCAAGGUCAGCCCAAGUGGUCGAGCCUACGUCAUAAUUUGUGGUAGAGGGGGCCUGCAUUCCGCGACCCCUAU